GCUGAUGCUGUUGCCGCAGCAAAGUGCAGCCUUCAAGAUUCUUCGUACUCGGUUGAAAACUGUUCCUUCAUACUCUUUCAAGGAAGAGAAAGUUGCACGAACAUCGUCUGGGAUUCCAUUUUUCAACGGCGGAGGUGGAUUACAAAUCUCUGAGGAUGGCAACCCAAGUGAGAGUUCACAUGAUAUGCAUAACGGAAUAAACUUUAGUUCUAGGCUGAAGCAUUUUAAGCAAAUUCAGCAGCAGCAUCGUUUGCACCUAAAAUCAGAGACUCAAUCACGAUUUAGUUCUGCUUCAUCAAUGAAGGAGUUAUGAAGACCAGAGGAAUCAAACAAUCUGUCGCAGCAACAGACUUGAACGGACCACCUUCUUCAAGCGUAUGGCGUAGAGCCCCAGUACAGUUGCAACUUUGAUUGUUUACUUUUGCUCCUAAUCAAGGUUUCUUAUACAGCAACCUUGAUUUGCUUUCUUAUU
rnacentral:misc_RNA from 1 species